GACGAACGCUGGCGGCGUGCUUAACACAUGCAAGUCGAACGGAAAGGCCCUGCUUUUGUGGGGUGCUCGAGUGGCGAACGGGUGAGUAACACGUGAGUAACCUGCCCUUGACUUUGGGAUAACUUCAGGAAACUGGGGCUAAUACCGGAGAGGAGCUCCUGCUGCAUGGUGGGGGUUGGAAAGUUUCGGCGGUUGGGGAUGGACUCGCGGCUUAUCAGCUUGUUGGUGGGGUAGUGGCUUACCAAGGCUUUGACGGGUAGCCGGCCUGAGAGGGUGACCGGCCACAUUGGGACUGAGAUACGGCCCAGACUCCUACGGGAGGCAGCAGUGGGGAAUAUUGCACAGUGGGCGGAAGCCUGAUGCAGCAACGCCGCGUGCGGGAUGACGGCCUUCGGGUUGUAAACCGCUUUCGCCUGUGACGAAGCGUGAGUGACGGUAGUGGGUAAAGAAGCACCGGCUAACUACGUG
rnacentral:rRNA from 1 species